ensembl:lncRNA
GUGAGCAUGGGGAAGAAGAACUGUUUUACGGGGACAUAACAACCUCAGUUAUGUUAACAAAGUUUGACUCAGGGUGGCCAUAAAAAAUGUAAUAUUCGACCAUGAAAUGACUCUGGCAUGAGGCAUGAGGCAUGAGGUGGGGAAGGCAGGAAGGCUUUGUGUCCCAGGCAUGGGUAUAUCUAUGCCUCCUAAUAGACUCCAGAAAUCCUGGUAACGAGCAGAUUGGUUAGAAGUAGAGGAGCCAGAUUUCCUUCCUCGCCUGCCCCGACUGGCUGAACUUCUGAGGGGCCUUACCAGCCUUUCUUUACAAGGCAGAACGAUGGCUACAGGACUAAUAAGCACUUUCAGAUGAGUGUCUAGUAACUUCUCUACCAUCAGCUCUCAUUUAUCACAGCCAGAUCACUUGACUUUCAAAUUAUCUCCUAAAGUCUCCCUUUUGAAUAUUUAUUGACAUGUAAACAACUCUUCUUAAUUAAGUACUUUAUUGGAAUGAACAAGGUCUUUGUUUACUCUAGUCCAGCAGAAGCAUGAAGAGUCAAAAACAACACCAUUCCUCUCUGCAAAAGAUGUUGAGAUGUGCUUCAGAUGGGUUCCUCAUUCACCGAGCUGGCACUGAGUAGCAUCUAGGACCAUUGGGUGUGCUCCUGGAUUCUAGGCACAUGAAAAAAUACCUUUGCUGACCUUAGGAAUCCAGAAUCUCCUAGAGGAGAUAGACAUGCAAACAGUUACAUAAGAAAUGUAUCUCAUGGAAGGCUCAGUGGAGAACAGGAGGAGAAUCUGUAUCAGCCUCAAUAGAAUCAGUGAUGGGACAGAGAUGGUGCAUGAGCUGGGCCUUGAGGCAAGGUUUGAGUGGCUGCAAGACUGGGGGAAUGCCUUGUGUUGUGGCACUGUAGUGUAACAGAGGAAAGAUCACUCCUUUGUUUGUAAUGUAAGCUUUCUGAAUGGCACUGUAGUGUUUUUACUGCAGAGGACAGGUUACAGAAGCUCUCUGUCUAUGGCGGUUUCACUCUUGAAUGUAACAUGUAAAUCUUUAGAAUAUAAGAGGCUCUUGCUUUCAUACUUUGAC